rnacentral:rRNA from 1 species
AUUGAACGCUGGCGGCAGGCCUAACACAUGCAAGUCGAGCGGAUGAAGGGAGCUUGCUCCUGGAUUCAGCGGCGGACGGGUGAGUAAUGCCUAGGAAUCUGCCUGGUAGUGGGGGAUAACGUCCGGAAACGGGCGCUAAUACCGCAUACGUCCUCAGGGAGAAAGUGGGGGAUCUUCGGACCUCACGCUAUCAGAUGGGCCUAGGUCGGAUUAGCUAGUUGGUGGGGUAAAGGCCUACCAAGGCGACGAUCCGUAACUGGUCUGAGAGGAUGAUCAGUCACACUGGAACUGAGACACGGUCCAGACUCCUACGGGAGGCAGCAGUGGGGAAUAUUGGACAAUGGGCGAAAGCCUGAUCCAGCCAUGCCGCGUGUGUGAAGAAGGUCUUCGGAUUGUAAAGCACUUUAAGUUGGGAGGAAGGGCAGUAAGUUAAUACCUUGCUGUUUUGACGUUACCAACAGAAUAAGCACCGGCUAACUUCGUG